rnacentral:misc_RNA from 1 species
GAUGAAGAACGCAGCGAAAUGCGAUAAGUAGUGUGAAUUGCAGAAUUCAGUGAAUCAUCGAGUCUUUGAACGCACAUUGCGCCCCCUGGUAUUCCGGGGGGCAUGCCUGUCCGAGCGUCAUUGCUGCCCUCAAGCACGGCUUGUGUGUUGGGCCGUCGUCCCCCUCCUAGGGGACGGGCCCGAAAGGCAGCGGCGGCACCGCGUCCGGUCCUCGAGCGUAUGGGGCUUCGUCACCCGCUCCGUAGGCCCGGCCGGCGCUUGCCGACGACCAUCAAUCUCUUUCUCCAGGUUGACCUCGGAUCAGGUAGGGAUACCCGCUGAACUUAAGCAUAUCAAUAAGCGGAGGA